UACGGAGGGUGCAAGCGUUAUCCGGAUUCACUGGGUUUAAAGGGUGCGUAGGUGGGGCUGUAAGUCAGUGGUGAAAUCUCCAAGCUUAACUUGGAACUGCCGUUGAUACUAUAGCUCUUGAAUGUUGUGGAGGUGAGCGGAAUAUGUCAUGUAGCGGUGAAAUGCUUAGAUAUGACAUAGAACACCAAUUGCGAAGGCAGCUCACUACACAAAUAUUGACACUGAUGCACGAAAGCGUGGGGAUCAAACAGGG
rnacentral:rRNA from 1 species